AGAGUUUCUUUCUGGCUCAGAACGAACGCUGGCGGCGCGUUUUAAGCAUGCAGGUCGAGCGGCAGGGGGGCUUCGGUCCCCUUAGAGCGGCGGACGGGUGAGUAACACGUGGACAACCUGCCCCCCGGUUCGGGAUAGCCCAGGGAAACCUGGAUCAAUACCGGAUGCGAGGGCGGCCGCACAAGCGGCCGUCGGGAAAGGCGCUUCGGCGCCGCCGGGGGAUGGGUCCGCGUCCCAUUAACUAGACGGUGGGGUAACGGCCCACCGUGGCGAUGAUGGGUAGCCGGCCUGAGAGGGUGGACGGCCACAUUGGAACUGAGACACGGUCCAGACUCCUACGGGAGGCAGCAGAUAAGAAUCUUCCGCAAUGGGCGAAAGCCUGACGGAGCGACGCCGCGUGAACGAAGAAGGCCGAGAGGUUGUAAAGUUCUUUUCGGGAGGGGGAACGAGGCUGCCAGGCAAUGGGCGGCCGAUGACGUGAAUCCCGGAAUAAGCCCCGGCUAACUACGUGCCAGCAGCCGCGGUAACACGUAGGGGGCGAGCGUUGUUCGGAAUCAUUGGGCGUAAAGGGCGUGCAGGCGGCCGCCAAAGUCCGGCGUGAAAGACCCAGGCUCAACCUGGGGGGUGCGCCGGAUACUGGGCGGCUUGAGUACAGGAGGGGACGGCGGAAUUCCAGGUGUAGGGGUGAAAUCUGUAGAUAUAUGGAGGAACACCGAUGGCGAAGGCAGCCGUCUGGCCAUGUACUGACGCUGAGGCGCGAAGGUGCGGGGAGAAAACAGGUUUAGAUACCCUGGUAGUCCGCACAG
rnacentral:rRNA from 1 species